GGCCCGCCCUGCAGCCUUGCCAGGUGGGCAGAGAGCUGGUGAGGCCUCUGGGGGUGGCCCCAUGGCUCAGCUGAUUUGGAGGCCCCGUAACCAUAAUCAUCCCUCGGGCUGACCUUGUACUAAGUCCCCAAGAGCAGACCCUGAGACAAAGGUUGGAGUGUGCCUAGCAUGUGUGGGAGGGUGCCAGUGCGAGACACAUACACUGACAGACAAUGGCCAGACCAGGCAUGACGACAGAACCCUGACCGCAGGCUGCAGCACCAGCCAGAGAGCCAGACCUCAGCCUCUGCAGCAACUGGCCCGAUGGCCAGGCUUGGUCAAUAACUGCCAGCUUCCCUAAUUUUUGUCCCCGCGUCCAACUUAGCAUCAACCAGAAGAGAAAGCCAACUGUGCCCCCUGACCUGUCACAGGAGACGCCCCACUCUAGUUGCCCGCAUCCGGUGCUCUCAGGCACCCUGAUCCUCCCUUUUUCCAUCAUAAAGCUUUCCCACCCCUGGCCUGCCACAUGCAGGUGAUGCUGGCUGACUCCCAGGCUGCCGGAAGCUCUGAAAUCGUUGCUGAUUUAAAUGGUUGGAGAUGGCACUCCCGCCUCAAUCCCCAUUCUGCUCUGAGGACCCACUUAUCACCUUGUUAAUUAAGUGCCCUGGGUGGAUCUUCUCUUGGCGUCUGUAAGUCUCGGGUGUCAUUCAUUUGGCUUGAUGCUGACACGGAACGGAGGAUAACCUAUUUCACUGGCUUUCCUUCCUCCUUAGUUUCUGUAGCCCUUGUAUAAAAUUUCCGGAUUGUAGUUCUAGGACCCUGAGGUGCUCCCUCUGGAGGAAGCCCCUGGUGUGGGUGAGUCGAGGCCUGGGUUCCGUGCUUCCCUUGCUUUUGCCCCAUCCUUAGUGACCUUCUCUGCUCCUGCAGCUGAGCCUGCCGAGGAGUUCCCCUGGGCACCUCUGGGAUUGGCCAACGCAGGGUGGGCUGGAUGUGCACAUUGUGUAUGAGGCAGGUGUGGGUGCCAGAGAACCACGGAUGCAGGAUCCCAGGAUGGUUGUCAAACUCAGUUCUUCACUUGAUUUCUUCUCACAACAUUUUAUUAUAAAAUUUUACAAACUUUUCCAGAGAAGUUGAAUGAAUUGUUCAGUGGAUACUCAUAUGCCCACCUCCCAGAUUCCACAGUUAACUUUUUCAACUUUUGCUUUUUCCAUCCAUCAAUGUGUCUUUUUGGUUUUGCCCAUUACAAAUUCACUGCCCUUGAGUUGAUGCUGAAUCCUGGGGAUCCCACCCUGCCCAGUGACUGCUUGACCUCUAUUUAAACUCUCCUGGAGACGGGAAACUCAGUACUGUUACACUUCUUCAUUCCAUCUGCUCUGGCUGUCACCAAGCCCCCUUCUGUGCCAGGGCUCCAAUGACAGUCUCUCCCAGGUGUGACCUCUCAAAAGAAGGGCCUGGAAGGGAACUGCGAGUCAGAGGCGCUGGGGCUGUUGGCGCCUGGGCCGGGCCUGCUGCAGGACUUCCCCAUCAGGAGGCCUCUGGCGGGUCCGCGAACGGGCAUUUCCGACAAGCUCCCAGCUGAGACUGCUGCUGUGUGUCCAGGACCCCAGGAGAAUCGCUGGCCCAAGCUCACACAGCGACUGGGAGGCACGGCCACCCCUUGACUUCCCGGCACCAGAAUCCAUCAUCCACCACGGAGGCAGACACCCAACGAUAUCCACCUGCAGAUUUCCUUAUCUCAACAUCCUCUUCCCGCAAGCAGCCUCACAGGGCCAAACACAGGCUGGUGGGAAAACGCUGACCAGCAAGGCCACAGGCUCCCCCUCCUUACAAGCUCACAACCUCUAAAACCCCUUGCCUCACAUAUUUCGGAGAGACGAGACGAAUUUGAGGGCUCGCUUGUCUCCCCGCUGAUGUCACCC
rnacentral:lncRNA from 1 species